CAGUCGCCGCGGUAAAACGGAGGGUGCAAGCGUUAAUCGGAAUUACUGGGCGUAAAGCGCACGCAGGCGGUCUGACAAGUCAGAUGUGAAAUCCCCGGGCUUAACCUGGGAACUGCAUUUGAAACUGUCAGGCUGGAGUCUUGUAGAGGGGGGUAGAAUUCCAGGUGUAGCGGUGAAAUGCGUAGAGAUCUGGAGGAAUACCGGUGGCGAAGGCGGCCCCCUGGACAAAGACUGACGCUCAGGUGCGAAAGCGUGGGGAGCAAACAGGAUUAGAUACCCGCGUAGUCCCUGUCUCUUUACA
rnacentral:rRNA from 1 species